rnacentral:SRP_RNA from 1 species
GCUGGGCGUGGUGGUCUGCGCCUGUAAUCCCAGCUACUUGGGAGGCUGAGGCAGGAGAAUCACUUGAACCCAGGAGGUGGAGGUUGCAGUGAGCCGAGAUCAUGCCACUACACUCCAGCCUGGGUGACAGAGUGAGACUCUGUCUCAA